rnacentral:rRNA from 1 species
GCACAUGGUGGAUGCCUUGGCAGUCAGAGGCGAUGAAAGACGUGACAGCCUGCGAUAAGCUUCGGGGAGGCGGCAAUAUCCUGUGAUCCGGAGAUUUCUGAAUGGGGAAACCCAACUAGCAUAAGCUAGUUAUCCUAAUUUAUUAGGAAGCGAACGAGGGGAAGUGAAACAUCUCAGUACCCUUAGGAAUAGACAUCAAUUGAGAUUCCCCUAGUAGCGGCGAGCGAACGGGGAGAAGCCGAUUAGUACUAAUGUAGAAGAACAGCGUGGGAAAGCUGACCGUAGUAGGUGAUAGUCCUGUAUUCGAAACAUUAGCAUUAACAUAUUAAGUAGAGCGGGGCACGAGAAAUCCUGUUUGAAGAUGGGGGGACCAUCCUCCAAGGCUAAAUACUCCUGACUGACCGAUAGUGAACCAGUACCGUGAGGGAAAGGCGAAAAGAACCCCUGUGAGGGGAGUGAAAUAGAACCUGAAACCGUGUGCGUACAAGCAGUGGGAGCCUACUUGUUAGGUGACCGCGUACCUUUUGUAUAAUGGGUCAGCGACUUAUGUUCUGUAGCAAGGUUAACCGUUUAGGGGAGCCGUAGGGAAACCGAGUCUUAAUAGGGCGAUUAGUUGCAGGGCAUAGACCCGAAACCGAGUGAUCUAUCCAUGAGCAGGUUGAAAGUGCCGUAACAGGCACCGGAGGACCGAACCCACUGUCGUUGAAAAGCCAGGGGAUGACUUGUGGAUAGGGGUGAAAGGCUAAUCAAACUCGGUGAUAGCUGGUUCUCCCCGAAAGCUAUUUAGGUAGCGCCUCGGACGAACACCAUUGGGGGUAGAGCACUGUUUCGGCUAGGGGGUCAUACCGACUUACCAAACCGAUGCAAACUCCGAAUACCGAUGAGUGAUAUCCGGGAGACACACGGUGGGUGCUAACGUCCAUCGUGGAGAGGGAAACAACCCAGACCGCCAGCUAAGGCCCCAAAUUCCUAGUUAAGUGGGAAACGAGGUGGGAAGGCAUAGACAGCUAGGAGGUUGGCUUAGAAGCAGCCACCCUUGAAAGA